AUUACUAAAGAUUCCAAGCAGUUUAUAAGUUUAAUCGAGAAAUAUAUACUAAGUGAUUUUUUUCUUAUCUAUCUAAUUUUGAUAGAGAGAAUUAUCCGAUAUUUGUUGUCGGUGGAAGAUGAUCAGAUCAAUCUAUAAGUUAGUUUGUAAAUAAUAAUAGGACAUAGGAGUUGUCAAUAUUUUUAUGUCCGGUCAAAUCGAACAAGAUCCCAAGUGAUGGAAAUGAAAAGUUGAUAAAGUUUUAA
rnacentral:misc_RNA from 1 species